rnacentral:rRNA from 1 species
CCUACGGGAGGCAGCAGUGAGGAAUAUUGGUCAAUGGGCGAGAGCCUGAACCAGCCAAGUCGCGUGAAGGAUGACGGCCCUACGGGUUGUAAACUUCUUUUGUCAGGGAGCAAUUGGGUCCACGCGUGGGCUUAGCGAGAGUACCUGAAGAAAAAGCAUCGGCUAACUCCGUGCCAGCAGCCGCGGUAAUACGGAGGAUGCGAGCGUUAUCCGGAUUUAUUGGGUUUAAAGGGUGCGCAGGCGGCGAGUUAAGUCAGCGGUAAAAUUUCGGGGCUCAACCCCGACAAGCCGUUGAAGCUGGCUUG